rnacentral:rRNA from 1 species
GACAGAGGGUGCAAACGUUGCUCGGAAUUACUGGGCGUAAAGCGCGUGUAGGCGGGCCGAUAAGUCAGGCGUGAAAUCCCCGAGCUCAACUCGGGAACUGCACCUGAAACUGUCGGCCUAGAGUGAUGGAGAGGGUAGUGGAAUUCCUGGUGUAGAAGUGAAAUUCGUAGAUAUCAGGAGGAACACCGGUGGCGAAGGCGACUACCUGGACAUUAACUGACGCUGAGACGCGAAAGCGUGGGGAGCAAACAGG